rnacentral:ncRNA from 1 species
GCAGAGUAGAAAUUUGUACGUGGAUCAGGGAUCCGGGUGCCUUCUGAACGGGGAGUUGUCAGAGGGACGAAAAGCCUUUCCGGCUUACGCUGCAUAGUUCGCAUCCCGCUGC